UAUCUCUGUAGAGUCUGCAUAUCAAUAAGCGGAGGAAAAGAAACUAACAAGGAUUCCCUUAGUAACGGCGAGUGAAGCGGGAAGAGCUCAAAUUUGAAAUCUUCAAGGUUCUACCUUGACGAAUUGUAGUUUAAAGAAGUGUUUUCUGUUAGAUGAGUAGCGAAAGUUCCUUGGAAUGGGACAUCAUAGAGGGUGAGAAUCCCGUAUUUGGUUAUUCAUUCUAGCUUUGCGAUACACUUUCAAAGAGUCGGAUUGUUUGGGAAUGCAGUCCAAAAUGGGUGGUAAAUUUCAUCUAAGCUAAAUAUUGGCGAGAGACCGAUAGCGAACAAGUACCGUGAGGGAAAGAUGAAAAGAACUUUGAAAAGAGAGUUAAACAGUACGUGAAAUUGUCAAAAGGGAAGCGUUUGACACCAGUGUUGUUUUUCCGAAAAUCAAUUACGAAUGGCUUGAUUUUGUGUUGUAUUGACCUUAUCAGCUUUCUGCACUUUUUUCGAGUCUUUCUUAAUGCACUUUUCGGUUAACAAGUCAACAUCAAUUUCUUUUGUUGUAAAAGAGUAUUCGGAGGGUGGCUUUCUUUUCGGAGAAAGUGUUUAUAGCCCUAUACUUCUACAAUCGGAGAGAUUGAGGUCUGCAGCGUAGAUCCUUCGGGGUUAGAUACACUUGUGCUAAGUUGUAGCUUUUCAUAGACAACUUGUUGACUAUGUUUAGUCAUGCGGCUUACUCGCUUAUGCUAUUUUACCUACGCUUAGGAUGUUGACUGAUAUGUAGUCGUA
rnacentral:rRNA from 1 species